CGCGUAGGUGGUAGUGUAAGUCUGAGGUGGAAUCCCAGGGCUUAACCCUGGAACUGCCUUGGAAACUGCAUUACUUGAGUCAGUGAGGGGAGGGUAGAAUUCCUGGUGUAGCGGUGAAAUGCGUAGAUAUCAGGAGGAAGGCCUGUGGCGAAGGCGGCCCUCUGGUGCUGGACUGACACUGAGGCGCGAAAGCGUGGGGAGCAAACAGGAUUAGAUACCCUGGUAGUCCACACCCUAAACGGUGGGCACUAGGUGUAGGGCUCGUAAGGGUUCUGUGCCGAAGGGAACCAUUAAGUGCCCCGCCUGGGGAGUACGGCCGCAAGGUUGAA
rnacentral:rRNA from 1 species